GUGGGACUAAGACAUGCGAGUUGUGCGUCUCUAAGCCAUGGUAGAGACGCGGCGUACGGCUCAGUAAAAUGUGGCUAACCUACCCUUAGGACGGAGACACCCCGGGAAACUGGGGCUAAUACCCGGUAGAUUAGGAGGCCUGGAAUGGUUUCUAGUCGAAAAGGCGUUGAAACCAUGCUUUUCGACGUCGCCUAAGGAUGGGGCCGCACCUGAUCAGGUUGUUGGUGGGGUAACGGCUCACCAAGCCUAUAACCGGUACGGGCCGUGAGAGCGGGAGCCCGGAGAUGGGCACUGAGACAAGGGCCCAGGCCCUACGGGGCGCAGCAGUCGCGAAAACUCCGCAAUGCGCGAAAGCGUGACGGGGCUACCCCGAGUGCCGUCCGCUGAGGAUGGCUUUUCCCCGGUGUAAUGAGCCGGGGGAAUAAGGAGAGGGCAAGACUGGUGUCAGCCGCCGCGGUAAUACCAGCUCUCCGAGUGGUAGGGAUGAUUAUUGGGCUUAAAGCGUCCGUAGCCGGCUUAGCAAGUCUCCNUGUCAAUUCAGCGACCUAAUCGUUGAGCCGCGAGAGACACUACUAGGCUAGGAGGCGGGAGAGGCCGACGGUAUUCUCGGGGUAGGGGUGAAAUCCUAU
rnacentral:rRNA from 1 species